rnacentral:lncRNA from 1 species
AAUGUGCAACUUAAUUUGUUGUUUAAUUUAUGAAUUUGUUUUGUAUUGACGGGAGAUUUCUGAGAAGGAGUCUCAUGCUUUUAUGUAGAGCAAACUUAUAUUAUGUGUUUGCAUAUUUCUCAAGUAACCGUCACAAAUCAAUACUCACGGCGUCGACGGCGCGGCCCUCGCGGGUUGCAUCUCCGCCGGAGUAGUCUCAUAUUCCAUUGCCUUGUGGAGCUGCAUCGUCGCCUUUACCAUUUGGGACUGGCCAUGAGACGAACAUUAACUAUCCUUUUUUUAAUUUAUUUUAUUCUUAGAAAAGAAAUUGUAUGACUUGCUCUCCAAUUUGAUAAAUUGUGUUGCUUCUUUUUUGUUAAUUUAUGAAUAGGGAAUUUCAUGGUAUAUGAUUGAUUUUGCAAAUGAUUGUUUAGCAUGAUGGCACCAAGUAGCCUUUUGCAUGUUCUAGUUUAAUUGCAAGGAAAUCACGAGCUAAUAUUUUAUAGGAGCUAUAAUUCGCCAUAUAAAUUAAAAUUCGUGUUUUUGGUCGAUUUGUUUAUUGCCAAUUAUCAUUUUCUUUCCCCAAGAUUGGUUUCCUAUGUAGUAAUGUCUGACUUUUUUAAUUAUUCAAUGAAUAUCGAAGCAAAACUAAGUAAAAAUUAUAUUUUUUGUUGUUGGUGUCGUUGUGUAAGCUUAGUACUUGGUUUGCUUCAAGGGUUCGUUCUCUAGCAUAUUGUUCAAAACUUUUUGGUGGAUUUAUUUUUUGAUGCUGCAUAUUCUCAUUUUGUUUCCGCUAAUGUUUUUUAUUAAAAUAAAUUUUUUUGAAAAAGAAAGGAAUCGAAUGUUUAUAAGCAGAGCAAAGUGAUGAAGUCCUAAUAUCUGAAUAUGAUGUGGAUUUCUUAGUUCAUAUGGUCUUCAAAGUUCUCUGAUUGCUUUGCCGGUUUUAGUCAUUAUCUAUUGUGUUUUUUUUCACUGGGACUUAAUCAGUAAUUACUCAAUUCCCAAUUUGUUCUUCUUAUUUGGAUUCUUCUCACAUACUGAUUUUUAUUGGUUUCAUUGUGCUGGAUAUUCAUGUAGCAAAAGCACAUGUUGAUCCUUAACAAAAAAUUCUUGUUGGUUUAUUGUCUUUUUUUUCUUUGUAGUCCUUAAAAUUUAUAAAUUGUGGUUAAAAUUGUUGUAUACAAGUCAGUACAAUAUUUUAAAGCUCAACGGUUUUAAAAAUAAUUUAAAAUGUUGUAUAAAAUUGAUUAUGGUAGUUUAAAGUUUACCUUAAUAUAUAAACUAUAUAAUCGAUUUUUUGUCGUAAAAAUGGCUAAAAUUGUGAACAUUAUAUUGUUUUAUUCACAGUUUGUACGUUUGUUAACACGAAUAUUUUAUCUGUCUCAAAUACUAAAUGGUAAUGUUAAAAUUGGAGCACCAAAAUAUGAUUUAUAUUUUUGUUACUAAGCAUUUAAUCCUUCAUGUUCACAAUUUCUGUUGAGUUGACCAUGAUCCACGUUUAAAUGACAUCUAUCGCCAUUGGUUUAUGUCUGUUUCCAAUUAGUUUUAUGUAUUUUUUGUGUGGUCAAUGAUGAUAAAAUAUAAUCCCAGCUCUAUGAGACCUUCACCAUUGCAAGGUCUAGGAGUAGAUUUGUUCAUAUUUGUCUGAGCCACUUUCUUCAAUACGGACGUCAAGUACAUUUAAAAAAUCAGCUCUAUUCGUUGUGGUAUUCGAAAAAGGAGGUUUAAGAUCUUCAAAUAAAUUGUGAUUAGAACAAAAAAUGCGAGGCUUAAGAUUUAGCAUUAGAACCAAAAAAAUGUGAUAGGUUUUAAAUCUGGUAUUGUGGAACAUAUAAAAAGUUAUUUAACAUAGAAUGAGUUUAACAUUGUUCUUAGUGGUAAUGUUGAAAUUUAUACUCCUUGAAUGGUUUCGUAUAAUCAGCAUUUGUUUUAAUAACCUUUUGUUUUGGUACAUAUUUCUGCUUCGGAGGAGGACUUGAAAAGUGUAAUUGAAUGUUUAAUCCUUUACAAUGGUGUACAAGCAGAGUGGUAAAAGCAAGCAAACCUUGAUUGUCUUCAAAAGCCCCGAAGUUACUGCGUUAUCGGACUACAUACUAGUGUUGAAUGAAAACCAACUUUGGAGUUAAGUCUUCAAUUUGAGACCUAACAUACAGUUUGUGGUAGUUAAAAGAAAUAUGUUUUUAUAAAGUGUUAGUUUAACUAGUGCUAUGUUAAUUUGAGUGUAAUUUGUUCAAAUUUUUAUCUUUCUAAUUACUCUUCUUUUUUAUUAUUCCUUAAUUCAUUGUCAUGUGAGCAUCGUCAAUUGAGUUCUUUUUGCAUAUUUUACUUGAAUGUAUAAUUUUACUUGAAUGUGAGCAUCGUCAAUUGAGUAAUGUUGCUCGGUGGAGGAUUGUUCAGUCUAUUAAAAACAACUUGGUUGAAAUUUCUCUACUGCAUUCCAAACUACAAAAGCCCAAAAUCUCUCCAUCGAUAUGACAGAAGAAGCCAAACUAACAAAGCCCAUUAUGUUGUACGGUCGGAAGACAAUUAUUUAAAGCAAAAAAUUUAGAAAAAGAAAUUAUGCAAAGCCAUGUAAUUAUUAUUUUAUUUUGUUUUGUAUAAUUGAAAUUUAAAAUGCAGUGAAGACUAAUUUUAUUUAAUGUAUUCAAUUAUUACUAAAUAAAAUUUUAUGGUACUAUUUCAAUGACAGCCGGAGUUUUGUUUGAGGUUGACGCUCAUUUUAAUUAGAUGUUAAAUUUGAAUUUUUAUAAUUGCACCUAAUAUGCAAGCCAAGCCCAAUAAUGUUUUGUAAUUAGUUGGAAUUUAUUUGGUAAGGCAGUAGAGUAUAUAUUUCGUUGGAAUUUAUUUAAAAAAACUGGAAAGGCACGAAGUUUGUGUUAGUAUUUUUGAACUGUGAUUUAAUUGUAGAUUAUUAAAAAAAUAUUCUUUUUUUUUUCAGAAACAAAUUUAAGGCAUUUCCUUCAUUUUAAGUAAGUUAUUCGAUUGGGCUGGACCCAAUAACGUUUUAUCAUAAUUUAAGAUUUUAUUUUAAUUAAUUAGAAAUUGUGUUUGUUAGACUGUGUUUCUUAUAAAUAAAUAGGCGCUGCGAGUGAUUGUAUCGUGUGCCUCUUCCAUCAACACUGGGUUUCGGUUAUUCGAUUAUGUCAGGUUCUUUCUCUCUUACUUUCUUCAGAAAUUUUAUUUUCUUCUUCUUCUUCAUGUGAAACUUAAAUAAUAUUUUGUUUCUUCUGGCAUUUUUCUUUUGGUAUAUCGAUCAUUUGAUGAGAAAAAAACUGCAACUAUAUGAAGCAGCGAUUAGAGAUGAGGAUGUUUACAUUUGAUGAGAAAAAAACUUAGUUUGGUUUUCCUUGAAUUUUUAUUGCCGUAUACGUCUUUGUUCUUUUUUCCUUGAAUCUUUAUUUUUACUUCUUGUAUAGUUAUAUUUCUUUAUCUCAAAUUAUGAAAUUUUUAUUUUUAUUAUUUCUUUGAAAUUCUUGAUUCUUUAGUCGAAUUUAAGGUGGCUUUGUCUCAGUGACAUUCUUCCUUUGUUGCAGUAUGUGUUGCUAUGUAUGUUUUAAGAAAUAUUGUUUCUUUAGGUAUUUUCCAAUAGAAAUUGAAAUCUUGCGCUAAUCCUUUUGUGUUUUGAUUUUGGUUUUUUGGGUUCUGCAGGGACCAUUUCCGAGCUUUUCAGAUGAAUAUGAAUGAAAAUUCUGGUACUUAGCAGAAUUUCUAAUUUAUUUAUAAUUCUUUUAUUUGGAAGAACUUAUAAUUUAUUUAUUUAUAAUUUAUUAAUGGGUAUGGUAGAUAUGCUUGUGGUCCUGGAAAAUUUGAAAAAUAUUAAUUUUUUUCUCAUAAAUUUUAUUGUAUUAAUUUAGUCCUUUAACAAUAAAGCAUGUUUUGGUUGAUUCUUACAAGUAACUAUAUUAUAUUAUAAUCUGACGUGAUUAAAUGAUUUACACGUAUAAUUUGAUUACAAAUGAAUUAAACAAUUUGAUUAAAAAUCUUAAAAUUAUAAUUUUUCAUCUUCUUUUGGGGAUUUUGUGGCACAUUUUAAAGAAAUUAAGGGAAAGAUAAGUUUGAUUCAUCUUUAAUAAAAUUUUAUACGUGCAAAUUGUUUAAUUCAUUUUUAUUAAAUUAUAUAUGUAAAUAUGAUAGUCACAUUGGAUUAUUAUGUAAUGGAGUUGUUAUUAAGACUAGCAAAAAAUAUGUUUUAUUUUUAUAAGGAAUAAAUUAAUAUGAAAAUUUUUAUGAGAAGAAAAUUAAUAUUUGCUUUAAUUGCAAAAUUCGUUCCCAUAUUUUGUCAUGGUUCUUGAAGUAAGAUGCAUACUUUUUUAUCACGAUACCCAAGUGUUCAUUUGAAUAUUUAAUGCAAAAUAUAGUAUUAAUAUAAGUUUUAUGCGAAAAUAGUUCAAAAUUCAAAUUUUAUUAUUUUAAUUUAUUAUAUUUUUAUAAUGUUAUAUAUUAUCUUUUAAAAUAUAAUAUAUAAAAUUAUAUUCUUUUUUCACAUAAAAAUAAGUAUACAUAUUCUAAUUUAUAUGAAAAUAAAAUUUAAUUUUAUAUACUAUAUUUUAAAAGAUAAUAUAUAACAUUAUAAAAAUAUGAUAAAUUAAAAAAAUUGAAUUUUUAAGUAUUUUCGCAUAAAAUUUAUAUUAAUACUAUAUUUGACACUAAAUAUUCAAAUGAUCACUUGAGUAUGAUGAUAAAAAAAGUGUAUUUUUUUUUACUUCAAGGACCAUGCUUCUAGUAAAUAGUGUAGUUUUGAAAGAUAAAAGGACAGAUUUUACAAUUAAAUCUUAAUAUUUUUCAAAUUUUAUAGGUAUCUCAAACAUAUUUUAUCCUUUAUUAAUUUAUGAUAAUUCUCUUAAAUAGAAUAAUUUUUAUUGAUGAUUCUGUUAAGCAGAAUUUAUGAUUUUAUUUAUGGAUAAUUUUACUAAUUCAGCGUAAUUUAUGAUUUAUAUUUAUAUUAUUGUAAAAAAUAAAAAAUUUUUAACUCCGCCUAUGGUCUCAUAGCCGGUCCCAAGCCCGGACAAAGGAGGAGGGUUUUUAUAUUACUCAUACAUCAUUGUAAUUUUUUAUGACCAAUCAAUUGUAAGUUUUUAUGAUUAACCAUCAUAAAUCAAUCCAGAGCAAUUUCAUAUUUCAUUGCUUUGUGGAGUGGCGUCGCCACCUUUAGCAUUUUGGACUGGCCAUGAGACUAACAUUCAAUCCACGCAUCUUGUUAAAUUGUUUUUUUUUUUUCUAAAAAAAAUUGAAUAGGAAGUGUAAAAGAACCAUUUCCUUCCUAUAUAAUUAAUGAAAAUGAGU